rnacentral:rRNA from 1 species
CCUACGGGAGGCAGCAGUGGGGAAUAUUGCGCAAUGGGCGAAAGCCUGACCCAGCGACGCCGCGUGAGGGAUGACGGUCUUCGGAUCGUAAAACUCUGUUUGUAGGGAAGAAAAGUCACUGUGCUAAUAAGCAGUGAAGUGACGGUACCUGCAAAGGAAGCACCGGCUCACUCCGUGCAAGCAGCCGCGGUAAUACGGAGGGUGCGAGCGUUUAUCGGAAUUACUGGUAGUAAAGCGCUCGUAGGCGGUAUGUUAAGUCAAGGGGGAAAUCCCCGCGGUCAACGUGGGAACUGCCUUUGAAACUGGCAGACGUGAGUGGGUGAGAGGAAAGUGGAAUGCCAGGUGUAGGAGUGAAAUGCGUAGAUAUCAGGAAGAACAUCAGUGGCGAAGGC